rnacentral:rRNA from 1 species
AUGUACCCUAAAAGAAAAGACACAAGCAUGGCAAUUAAGUUUCAGUGGGGACAUAUCCAAAAUAAAAAGUUGUCAUGGCAAGAAUGCAAUAAAUCUAUAAUGUACCCUAAACAAAAGACACAAGCAUGGCAAUUAAGUUUCGAUGGGGACAUAUCCAAAAUCAAAAGUUGUCAUGGCAAAAAGAAUGUGAUAAUCUGUAAUGUAAUGUACCCUAAAGAAAAGACACAAGCAUGGCAAUUAAGUUUCAAUGGGGACAUAUCCAAAAUCAAAAGUUGCCAUGGCAAGAAUGCAAUAAAUCUAUAA